CGAGAGCUUAACUUAAAAUCAUCGAAAAAAAAUGUUUGGUCUGAGAUUUCUUCUGUGAAGUUUUGAGUGUGCAAGACACUCUGGUUGAAGGGCAGUGAACGUGAGAGCGUAAAACUGCGGACUUUGGCUCAAAGAGUUAAAGCAUCUGGUGGCGAUACCUGGAUGGAUCCACCUGUUCCCAUUCCGAACACAGUAGUUAAGCAUCCACAGGCUGAAGGUACUUGGGGGGUGACCCUCUGGGAGAAUAGGUUGUUGCCAGUU
rnacentral:rRNA from 1 species